GGGCCCGCACAAGCGGUGGAGUAUGUGGUUUAAUUCGAUGCAACGCGAAGAACCUUACCAGGGUUUGACAUCCUGCGAAUCUCUUGGAAACAGGAGAGUGCCUUCGGGAACGCAGUGACAGGUGGUGCAUGGCUGUCGUCAGCUCGUGUCGUGAGAUGUUGGGUUAAGUCCCGCAACGAGCGCAACCCACGUCUUUAGUUGCCAGCAUUUAGUUGGGCACUCUAGAAAGACUGCCGGUGACAAACCGGAGGAAGGUGAGGAUGACGUCAAGUCAGCAUGCCCCUUAUGUCCUGGGCUACACACGUGCUACAAUGGUGAGGACAAAGAGUCGCAAGUUUGCAAAAACAAGCUAAUCUCGUAAACCUGACCUAAGUUCAGAUUGUAGGCUGCAACUCGCCUACAUGAAGUUGGAAUCGCUAGUAAUGGC
rnacentral:rRNA from 1 species